rnacentral:rRNA from 1 species
UGGGGAAUAUUGCACAAUGGGCGCAAGCCUGAUGCAGCCAUGCCGCGUGUGUGAAGAAGGCCUUCGGGUUGUAAAGCACUUUCAGCGGGGAGGAAGGCGUUAAGGUUAAUAACCUUGGCGAUUGACGUUACCCGCAGAAGAAGCACCGGCUAACUCCGUGCCAGCAGCCGCGGUAAUACGGAGGGUGCAAGCGUUAAUCGGAAUUACUGGGCGUAAAGCGCACGCAGGCGGUUUGUUAAGUCAGAUGUGAAAUCCCCGGGCUCAAUCUGGGAGCUGCAUCUGAUACUGGCAAGCGUGAGUCUCGUAGAGGGUGGUAGAAGUCCAGGUGUAGCGGUGAAAUGCGUAGAGGUCUGGAGGAAUACCGGUGGCGAAGGCGGCCCGCUGGACGAAGACUGACGCUCAGGUGCGAAAGCGUGGGGAGCAAACUGG